rnacentral:lncRNA from 1 species
GUCUGAAAAGAGGAGAAAGAACUCCAUGCUUGGCUUGAAAGAGGACUGUUCUUAGGCAAUGCAUCAAAAGCUAUAUAAUUUGCCAUAAUUUCAGUUAGCAUUGCACUGUGCCCUGGUUUCAGCACAGACAGUGCCAACCGCACAAUGAUAUUUGGUUGUCAUUGAUUGAUGCGUGAGUGUCCUGAGCUGGGCUGCUUGGUGUGAUGAUGUAGUGGGGCUGGGGGUGGCUGCAAUAUGGGCUGGGAUGAACAGCCUACAGGCCAUGUGUUAGACAUGCCUGCUAUAAAGGGCUGAGGAGGAACUUCUUCACUUCAAUCAAAUCUGGAAACAAAAAAGAGCCUCCAACCAUCCUUCUUCUGACCUCAGUGGGUAUCCUGCCUUUGCAAGGUUUUUAUGGCAGCUGAUGGAUAACUGCUGCCAAUUAACUGCACUUCAGGAUUUCUCUGCUGCUUGUGAAUGGCUCCUGGAGAAUUGAAAACCACUUCCAAAGAAUCUCAUCCUUCUUGGGAGUGCCAACUAUCCAAAUGACUGUGUUUACCAGUCAUGGCCUUGGUUCAGGCCAGAUUUGUUUGUUGGAGCUUGGGUUUGAUUAUAUUCCAAAUGAUUGCUCUUGCUUACAGAUUGAUCAGUUCUGCUGCAGAGCCUGAUGAGUUCAGGGGACUUGGUCCCUGGAAAAGAAUGGUGAAAAGAGAUGCUUAUGCAAAUAAGACUACCAUCUGUGCUUACAUUAGCUGGGAAGAAAAAUACCCUAUGAAGGCUAUUAAUGUUUCAAAUCACUGACUGAAAUUAAAAGGAGAAAUUAUUUUAUAACAGCACAUCGAUGUUGUGGUAUAAUUAUCCUCUCUUUGAUUAAAUGCAAUGGAAACUUAUGUAUUAAAAUAAACAAAAGAUCCUCAAACCACAA